rnacentral:rRNA from 1 species
UACGAAGGGGGCGAGCGUUGUUCGGAUUUACUGGGCGUAAAGGGCGCGUAGGCGGCGCGAGAAGUCGAGUGUGAAAGCCCCGGGCUCAACCUGGGAAUUGCGCUCGAUACUCUUGUGCUUGAGUUCGGGAGAGGAGCGUGGAAUUCCCAGUGUAGAGGUGAAAUUCGUAGAUAUUGGGAAGAACACCGGUGGCGAAGGCGGCGCUCUGGACCGAGACUGACGCUGAGGCGCGAAAGCUAGGGGAGCAAACGGG